CACUGCCUGGAGUGUCGCAAGGGGCAAGCACGGGCUUCGUGUUGUCUGUGGAGAGCUUCGGAAGACACCUCCGAGGAAGGGGCCUGUCUCCCUGGCUCUGACCUCUCCCUGCAGCAGGCGCCCCGAGGUCACGGUGUCUCGGUGGGGAGCGUCCCACAGCGUCCCACUAUCCUCGUGUCGCCCCUCCAGGGGGAUGGCUUCCCUCGGCCCGGCUGGUGCCAAAGUCCUGGAACCCUGGGAACGAGGUCCACGGAGCGGUGCCCGCCCUGGACGCUGCCACGGCCCAUCCACGAUAUCAUGGAUCUCAAGAUUCAUUCAUCUGUUUAUUUGUUCAACAAAUAUUUGUCGAACUCAAGAAGCACAUAGUAAGUACUGUCGUAAGGAUCCGAGAUACGGGAGUAAAGCGAGCAGAAAAGAAAAAUCUCUGCUUAAUUUCUAGUGGGAAGGGAUAGACAACAAAUACGUAAAAGUCAGAGGUGGUAAGUGCGAUGAAAAACAGUAAGGCCGGGACAGGAGGCAGUGGUGAGGCAAAGGGAAUGCCAGUGUUCAGGAGGCCAGUGCAUUUUAAGACAUCAUAAAUUUUAAAAUAGCUUUGGGAGAAGAGAUUUAAAAGAAAAACCAAAAAAAAAAGUCUGUUACAUUCAAUGCACACACACACACACACACACACACGCAUAUAUAUUUUUAAACCGACUAUAGCAUACAUUGAUCAUUGCAUGCCACAUUUUUUUGUUGGUUUGAGGCUAAGAUUUUUCUCACACAC
rnacentral:lncRNA from 12 species